rnacentral:lncRNA from 10 species
CGGACUGUUCAACUCACCUGGCAGCCACUCCCAGAGCUCCUGGAACUCUGGCCCUAGGCUCUCUGACUCCUUCUUGGCUUACCGGCUGAAGACUGACACUGCCCGAUCACCUCGGAAGCCCCCUAGACCAUCACGGAUGGCAAGCUUCGGGUAACUCUCACAGAGGAAGACACCAGUUGGAGACAAUUCAGCCUCAUCGUCCCUUGCCAAAGGAUGCAAUGAUUCUUAAGCAGGUGAAUAAGGUGGGAUUUGAAAUCAGCAUGGCAGUGUCCAGUGGAAGAAGGGAGCUGAAGUUUCUUGAGGAUGAAUAUAAAGCUGGGGGAGUUAUCAUUGAGCCUAACUCUCUGGUUUGGAACCCAUAAACCCUAAUCAAUAUACCUCCCAAGUUUACAAUAGAGUGGUAGACCACCAGCAUGCUAACGAAGUCGAGCAGCAUACACAGGGCUUGGAAGGAGAUGAUGGCAAGUCGUAAAUACUUAUCUUCCUGGACGAAGCAUGGGCUGUCAUCAGCACAGAAGGGGCAGCCCUCCCUGCAAGGUGAGAUCAUAACACAAUUGCAUCCAGGAAAAAUGAGCCAUUGGAAAUUGAGGAAUUAUAUGAGAAAACUGGUAAAGAAAGUAUUUGAGAAGUCAUGAUUGGAUGUAAUCAAGAGCAUAGUUGGAGAAAUUAACUCUAAGAAUAUUUGAUAUCUCUUUUUCUAACACUGGAAAAAAGUAGAGGGAAAAAAGAAAACACGGAAGCAAAAAGAAAACAAAAAUUACAAAUAAUUCUACCAUGCAAAGAAAAUUGUCACUAUUAUGUUGCACUAGAGUUAGGUAAGUAGAGAUUGUCAUUUCUGGAUAUGGGUCACUUGUAAAUUUGGAUUUGGAAAUGUACACAGGCUGAAGUCAAUCCAAAAGGCCAAAGAAAUAAGAAUGAAAGACUGGUACUAUAUCCACACAAAAGAUAAAAGCAGUUUCACUGAAGACAGAAUCCAUACUAAGAUAGAUGAACGUGAGGAAGAUGAGCUAGUCACAAGCUUGUGUUUCAUCAACCUGGAAGGGAACAACCUGGAUUUGAAGAGACAGUGAAACAUCAGUACUUGGUUAUUCUGAAAUCCUGCUACUAUCCAGAUGUCAGAUCCUGCUAACUCACAUGUGAUUACCAAUUUCAAGAGCAAUGCCAGGAACAAGGUCUCUGGGCUGCCAGCACAAUUUCAAAUCAUGUUAUUUGAAUACAUUCUGUUGGUCUUCACGAGUCAUUUGUUUACUGUGGGCCUCGGUCUAAAUAAAGAUUUUUAAAUCACUUCAUAUUUUAACAGAAUUUUUAAGUCAUAUUUAUAUUUUCUCUAAGA